ensembl:lincRNA Gm29387 predicted gene 29387
UUGAGCCAGUUCUAUGAUGGAGUGCUACACCCAGCAAAGGACAUGGACCAAGAGAGAGACCGAAUACCUGAAAAGAGGGACUCCAGGAGUUCCUGGGACCCUGGCAAUGAGAAAUCUGAAGAACAGAGGUGUUGGGGGGCAGGAAGAUAGUCAGAGAACUGUGUCACCAUCACACUGAAAGGUCCUCAACGAGGCUUCCUCAUACAGUGGACAAUACUGAGAGGGUAUGGAGCACUGUUGAAUCCAGAGGACUGCUUUGUGCUAACUCAGCAAGGAAAAUAUGUUCCAGAAACGGAACAUCAAUGUUUACGUUGUAAUAAUCCAAAUGCUGUCUGCUGAUGUGAGAAGAUGUUUGGACAUCUGACAGAAUCAUGAAGAACAUUCCCAAAGGCCAACACUCCCCUAAGAUGUAUCCAGUGGAGCUGGGAAGACGAUGCAAACUCAAGCUGGGAAGACGAUGCAAACUCAAGCCCACGUUACCUCCCACUUCCAGUGGAGAACAUGAUCAUAAAAAGGAAUAAGCAGUUACCAUCAGUGUUUGUCCCUUCCAUCAGAGGCUGAAAUCACAGACCUUGGCUAAGGAUACAGUAGGUUGCAU